rnacentral:lncRNA from 12 species
AUGACUCUGAAGCUGAAUGCAAUUCCAAAUCUUCAAAGAGAGAUUCUAUCGCACUAGCAAAGGGGGCUUGAAAUGUGUAGAAAGAUUUUUUUUCCAAAACAGCAGAUGAAAAAUCACUGUUACUGAACAUUCCAUGUCCUAAACAUUCCCACUCUAAGUCUGUGCCCCAGCCAUCAGCUGGGGCCGGGGGUGGCCAUACAUAGAUUCAGCAUUUGGAGGAAAGAAGAGCUGUCACAGAAACUUAAAACAACACAUAGCAGGAAAUGAGAAAAAACAUUAUAUAUCGUAAUCCUGUUGCUGUCUCCAAGGAGCAAAUGUAAAAACAGAUGCCUAUGGCUUUAAGAGAAACAGUCAUCCUGGAGAGUGUUACAGGUGUUAAGGAAAAGACUGUUUCUCAUGCCUUGGUUCGGGGGAUUCCCACAGGCCUGUGUCUGCUUCCUACAGCCCACAGCCUUCAAUGUAAAGAAAAUGGAUGCCAGAGUGGCUAAGAGAGGAUGCAAAACUAGGAGCAGAAUCCUGAAUGAAUUUAAUUCUCUAGGCAAAGCCUUCAAGAGGAGCCCACCACUGCUCUGAAUUCUCCUGUACAAGUGUAAGCUCCUGUGCAGCAGAAUCUACAGGGAGAGAUACUUGAUAGUCCUUUUGUAUACUUAGAUCUGAAAGCUUCCCAACCCGUAAGGCACAUUUUAAAAGUAGAAGUAAAGAGAGAGAAGGAGAUAGUGAGUAAUUAACUUCGAUGUUGUAGUUUCCUAGUCAUACUGGAAUUCCUCUUGAUUUUAUUCAGCUAAAGGAAAACCAACUUGCCAUCAUGCAUGAUUUUUAUGAAGGGUUGAAUGACUUAAUUAACUUGGCUUUUAUGGUAACCUGAAAAGAUUCCCCACUGACUCCUGUGUUUUGACAAAGCUCAAACACUGUUAUAGAUCAAAGGGAAGAUACCAUGAAAUCUGGACAUGUCAAGGGUACUAUACUGAAAGCCUCCUUAUAAAUGGGUAAUUGAGGAGCUGUUUCCAAGCUGGACUUCUGACCCCAGAGGCUGUAACAUCAAGGACAGAGAUAAUAACCACAAUCUGGGGUGUCUAAGCCCUGGCUGCUGGGAGAAAUGGAUCCUUACCCACACACCCCUAAGUAUGUGAUCGUCCUGGCAAUGAUGCAGAUUAUCAACC